rnacentral:snRNA from 1 species
UAACUUACUUGGCGUGGAGGAUAACCGUGAUCAUGAAGGCGGUUCCUCCUGGGUGAGGCUCAACCAUUGCACCUUGGUUGGGUUGAACCUUGCGAAUACUCCUUUUGUGGGUAUGUCGAGCGCACAAUUUUUGGGAGUCGGGACUUGCGUUCGCGCAGUCCCGGA